CAUUCUUUGACAGUCAUAAAAAUGAAAAAAUGAUGGCGAAUCCCCCUGAGCGGAGGGGCAUUACUGGAUACUCUGUAAUUGCAACAGCAUGCGAAGCGCUGCAUCCAGUCAGCGUUUCACCGGGAGGCACCCGGCACCGUCGAGAGAUGUUCUUCCUGAUAUGACCUGUUCGUCCGAGCAGGUCUUUUUUUGCC
rfam:Escherichia hermannii NBRC 105704 DNA, contig: EH10570401.